AGUCGUAACAAGGUCUCCGUUGGUGAACCAGCGGAGGGAUCAUUACCGAGUUUACAACUCCCAAACCCAUGUGAACAUACCUACUGUUGCUUCGGCGGGAUUGCCCCGGGCGCCUCGUGUGCCCCGGAUCAGGCGCCCGCCUAGGAACCUUAACUCUUGUUUUAUUUUGGAAUCUUCUGAGUAGUUUUUACAAAUAAAUAAAAACUUUCAACAACGGAUCUCUUGGUUCUGGCAUCGAUGAAGAACGCAGCGAAAUGCGAUAAGUAAUGUGAAUUGCAGAAUUCAGUGAAUCAUCGAAUCUUUGAACGCACAUUGCGCCCGCCAGUAUUCUGGCGGGCAUGCCUGUCUGAGCGUCAUUUCAACCCUCAUGCCCCUAGGGCGUGGUGUUGGGGAUCGGCCAAAGCCCGCGAGGGACGGCCGGCCCCUAAAUCUAGUGGCGGACCCGUCGUGGCCUCCUCUGCGAAGUAGUGAUAUUCCGCAUCGGAGAGCGACGAGCCCCUGCCGUUAAACCCCCAACUUCCAA
rnacentral:misc_RNA from 1 species